GGGGGCGAAAUGGUUUCGACGGGGGAAUUGGUGGCAGGAGCAGCGAGCCGGGGUUCCAUCUGCCCGCAAUACGGUGGGAAAACAUUAAUUGCCAACAACGAAUACGCUUUAGCUGCUUAAUCGCAGUUAACAUCCUGCCCGCGCCGGGCCCGUGACCCGGGACAGGGUGUCAGACUAACGGGCUGGCUGCCGGAUCAAUUCUCGGAGAACCGGCGGGACACUCAUCGAGAUAGCGUCUGAGGAGGCCGGCUGCGGCCGCCGAAGGGGCGAAAUCUAAAGCGCAGCCUGCGCUCGGAGAAACUCCUGUGGUCGUUCUUCCGGACGGCGGGUUCGACUCCCCCCGCCUCCACCA
rnacentral:tmRNA from 1 species